rnacentral:rRNA from 1 species
UACAGAGGUCUCAAGCGUUGUUCGGAUUCACUGGGCGUAAAGGGUGCGUAGGUGGCCAGGUAAGUUUGAUGUGAAAGCUCGGAGCUUAACUCCGAAAUGGCAUUGAAUACUAUCUGGCUUGAGGGUCGGAGGGGAGACUGGAAUUCUCGGUGUAGCAGUGAAAUGCGUAGAUAUCGAGAGGAACACCAGUGGCGAAGGCGAGUCUCUGGACGACACCUGACACUGAGGCACGAAAGCUAGGGGAGCAAACAGG